GUCUGAAAGAAGAGCUGUACAUUCUGGGAAUGGACGGGAUCAAAACAACAUGCAUAUGCCCAUUUUUUCUGAACAAUGAAUGCCUAAAACUCCAAAAGAAGGCAUUCCUUCUGGUACAAACUGAGGAUGCAGCCAAAAAACUGAUGGAAGGAAUACUAACUAACCAGGAAAUGAUUUUCAUUCCAUGGUGGACCACAUUUAUGACACUUACAAAGUAAGUAUGAUGGAUGUAACGAUACUAUUAUAGUUGUCUGAUUACAAGCCAAGAUUUAGAUUAAGCAAUACAACUUAUUUAUAUUGCAAAUGAAUUUCUGAAAGUCAACAUUUUGUCAAAGAUGUACGUGCUAUGAUAGCAAGGAGUGGAUCCAUGUUACAAUCUUUUAUUAUACACAAUGACAAUUUGGGUUGAUUCCCCUAAAAAAACAGACUAUUUUCCUAGUCAGGUGACUUUCAUGACAAGCACUAUUGCAUCCCACUGUUCUGGGUAAUUCAACAUAUGUUGAGAUUGCAGGCCAAACUAUAUUCAGACAUCUUCAGUGCUGAACAUGUGCAAACAUGGGCCAUAGCAUGAAAAUACAUUUAAGCAUCCACAGGACCAGGAAAAUGGUUGUGGGGUUGUGGUCAAAGGUUCAGUGAAUACAUCUAAACAAAUUCCAUGUUAAGGAUCAUUAGGAAAGGGAUGAAAAUUAAACCGCCAAUAGUGAAAUAGUAUGACCAUACUUAGGAGCAGAGUUGGCACCAGACUGCCUUGGGCCCUUGAGCACCAGAUCAUUGCAGGUCCCCCGCCAUUUGUGCUUGCAUGCGCGCACUUUAAUUCACGUGUCGCCACGUCAGUGCACAGAUACUGUGACACAAGAGGUGGCAUGGCCGGGCGCAUUAAGUGCAUGUGUGUGGGGUUGAUGUCUCCUGGCAGAAUGGAGCUCCCACUCCGUGCCACCAUCUGGUGACAGUCGGCAACCCGAUGCCCUUGGCCAGUGCCCAACCUGGACACCUGCUUUGGAGUAUUGCCUGCUUUGGAGUAUUGUGUACAGUUUUGGUUGCCCUACCUCAAAAAGGAUUUUACAGAGCUGUAAAUGUUACAGAAAAGGGCAAUCAAAUUGAUCAAGGGGCUGGAGCAACUCCCAUGUGAAAAAAGGUUACAUGUUUGGGGCCUUUUAGUUUAGAAAAAUGAUGGAGGAGGCAUGAUAGAGAUGUAUAAAAUUAUGCAUAGAGUAGAGAAAGUGGAUAGAGAGAGGUUUUUCUCCCUCUUAUAAAGCUAGAACCAGGGAUCAUCCAAUGAACUGUAAUUUGUUAAGAGUGCUAGGAACUGUAGCUCUGUGAGGGGUGAACUACCAUUCCCAGGAUUCGGGGGAGGGGAGAGAUGCGCUUCAAAUUUAUGGUUGUAUGCAUCUGGAAUGUUUAAUUCUCAGAUAUCCCAGAUUACUACUGACUUAACCCCAAACUAUCCAAAAUGGAAAGUGCACCACAAUGGCCAAUUCACAGUUGAAGCCUGGUCUCAGGACAAGAGAGGCUGAAUGCUAUUGCCAGGAAACGUAUGGACUAGGUUGAACUUAUGGCCUUUCUUUUCUGUCCCUGUCCCUGUGUGGCUUUAAUUGCAGGUUUCCAGGUGGCUUUUUGUUUUCCGUUUUAGUGGCGAGAUACUAUUAAAGCAAGGCUGGGGAAUCUUUGGCCUUUCCAUUAACCCCAGCCAGCAUUAAAGCAAGGCUGAUGGAAAUCCAACAACAUCUGGAGGGCCAAAGGUUCCCCACCUCUGUAUUAAAAGCUCAGGAACAGAGCCAGUAAGAAGGUGGCAAGGGUGGUGCGAAUGAACAGACCAGGGAGGUUUUGAGGUUGGCCAGGAUGCUUAAAGCAGUAGGGUGGUGUGACUGACAGCAGCCUUUUAUAUACUGGAUCGAACUAACCAGCCCAGUCUUUUGAUGAAAAUGUCUUGUCAGGAUAUUUUCUUUUAAGCUUGUGUAAUAUUUAUGUAAAAAGACGCUGAAGGAGUGGCAAGACCAAGGGCAGAACACUCCCAACUGGUUAACAUUUUGCUGUGCCAUCAAAGUUGCAUGUGGGGAGAAGAGCCUGGGAAAUAGGGGACGAAAACAAAAACAAAGCAGAAGCUGAAGACUGUUUGCUUUUAGCAUCAGCUAAAGCUAAACCAGAAGGAAGGACGACAGCAAGACCAUAGCAGGUAGGUAAAGAAAGGCAGGGUUUGUUGGCUGUCGUACUGGCACAAGCCAGUAAGUGCUCAGCAAGCUUCUCUCUCCCUAAUUCUGUGGGCUGAAAUCUAUUUUAAAAUAAGACCAAAGGCAGCACUCAGUCCAUGUGAUUAAAUCAUCGCCCACCAAAUCUGCAAACUGAUGCACAUUUACCUGGGAGCAAGCACCGCCGAGCUCAGUGGGGCUUGCUUCAGAUCUGAGUAAACAUGCAUGGGAUUAGAGUGUCAAGUAGGCAGCAGUGGGUUUCUGAUGGCAUGGUGCAGUGGUAGCUUUCCGUUUCUGCCUGCAUCAAAGGAGUGCAGCUGUUUCCAUGGAUUCUCUAUAGCAACUAGCAAACCAGUUGGGCAAAGUAUGCUUUUGUUUGUUUUGAAGGCUGGGUUUCAGGGAGGGGAGAGAAAUACUACUCCAGUUCGACUUAGUAUUUUCACUGUGGUGCUAGGUGGGCCAAAGAUAAAGCCACUUGUUCGUACUUCUAGGGAGGCAGGUUGGGAGGCAACUGUUUCAUAACAUGACCAUAAGGCAGGUGUUUUCUUCUUUUCUCCUGCUGUUUCUACUUUGCCCUGGCAUAAAAAAAAAAGUUUGAUGUUAGAAUUCAUUUGGUGCACAUAGAUUUCUUUCACACACUGAUAAGUGUCCUGUGCUACAUUAUGUGUGCACACUCAUGGGAGUCCACUGUAUGGGUGGUGUCGGGGGAUGUGUGUGCAGGUAUACUUUUCCAGGGCCCUGGAGGUCCCUCCACAAGAGCCGGCCUAGGCUGCAAGCAGAUUACAUGUCAGGAAAAACAACCACCACCUGAGGCUAAGUUAGAUCUCAUGCUUCAGGAAAUUUAUGCAAGUUGUUUCUUUGUAACUAUGAAUAUGAGGUGGCCAAGCAUCCACUGAAUCCAGCAGAACUGAAUAUGCAUCCUGCUAGGCAGCAAGCUCCUGAGCUAGAAUCCCUCUGAAACAUAUAGAUAGGCAGACAGUGAAUGUGUAUACUUUCAGCCUUUCCCAACCUUUGGGCCACAGAUGUUGCUGGACUACAACUUCCAUCAGCUGCAGCCAGCAUGGCCAAUGGUCAGGAAUGAUGGGGAUUGUAGUCCAGCAACAUCUGGGGACCCAAAGGUUGGGAAAGGCCACUCUAGGGCAUACAGUUUGAGAGACAGAGAUAUGCGCUUCUAGUCUCUCUCAGUAAUUCCUACUGGUAUUUCCUAUGCAACGGCAGGUGCCAAAAGGAUCUGGCAGCAGACCAGCAAGAGGAGGAAUGGACAAGCGCCAAAUUAUUAAGAACAUUUUAGCUCCCAGGAACAGUGGAAAUGGUGUUGAUAGGAUUUAUGCAUGCCCCAGGAUACGUGUGAGCAAAUGAGUAAGAAGGAUGGGCAGUUAAGGCUUGACAAAAAAAGAGGACAUAAAAGGUGAGGCCUUUCUUGUCCAUUUUUUCAAAACACAGAAUGGAUUGAGCCCAGAUAAAUGACACUUGGGUAGUGUGUCUGUAAAGGAGGGAUGAGGCAUGUGUCUUCCUCCAAAUGAUGUUGGACUCUCACAAACAUCAAUCCCAGCCAGCAUGGUAAGUGGUCAGGAUGUUGGGAGUGGUAGUCUAUCGACAUUUGGAAGACCCGAAGUUCCCUGUCCUGCAAAGGAGUACAUCUACUAGGUAUGUUGCUUACUUUUGUUCUAGUUUCCUGACUUUACAGGCUUGUCCUUUACUGUACUUGAUGGCAAUUCCUCUUACUGGCUUUUCAGAUUUGCUUCUGAACUUUUCAAGGUUCUGUUUAUUUGGUUUUCAGCCAUCUUGAUAUAUCAUAUCACCUGCUCUGUAAAAUUAUAAUAAUAAUAAAUAAUAAAAUUUUAUUUAUCAGACGCCCAUCUGUCCGACCGAACGGACACUCUGGGCGACGUACAAUAUAAAAUACAAUCUCAACAUAUACAUAAUCAUCAUAAUAUUAAUAUCAUAACAUCUCAUCUAACAGACCAUCCUACGCUAAUACAGUAUAAAAUCUAGCCCACCCCAGAGAUCCCAUAGGCCUGCCUAAAGAGCCAGGUCUUCAAGGCUCGGCGAAAAGUCAACAGGGAGGGGGCAUGCCAAAGGUCAAAUUGUGCCUUGUUUCUUCCACUAACGUCCCUAUGGCCCAGGGAUGGGAAAUCUGUAGUCUUCCAGAUGUUGCUAGAUUACAACCAAAGCUUGGAAAAGUUACUUUUUUGAACUACAACUCCCAUCAGCCCAAUCCAGUGGCCAUGCUGGCUGGGGCUGAUGGGAGUUGUAGUUUAAAAAAGUAACUUUUCCAAGCUCUAAUUACAACUCCCAGCAUGCCUGUUCCUGGCUGACGGGAGGUGGCAUCCAACAUCUGGAGGGCCAUAAAUUCCCUAUGCCUGCUUUAGCCUGAAUGUUGUUGCUGUUUCACUUUUGGUUUUUAACCUUCUUUAUUACAGUACUAAUUUUAUUUUACUUAUAUGGACAAAUAAUUGUCUCAAUAAGGACACUGUUUGGGGUUUUGUUUUGUUUUCUUAACUGCAAAGUCUCUUAGACUGUUUUACUUGUCCCACAAGUUUGCCCGCUAAGUAUACUAAGGCUGGGCUUGCCAACCUUUUCAAAACAGUGUGCACUUUUCAAAUCUUGAGAGCUGUGAAUGCCAGUCACAAAAUGGCUUCUCUCUCUCUCUCUGUGAUAACUCAAAAUUAGAGAGAGCACAGUUAUGGUGAAGAUUUUCCCAUAACUGUAUUUCUAUACUAGAAAAGGCAUGACCUGCUGAAUUUGUGCCUGCCAUAAAGGCACAAGAACCUUGUUUUUCCCCAGUGCCAACCCUAAACCACAGCUUGGACUACCAUGCUGUAUUCACUUACCUGGGGGUAAGCCCCAUUAAACUCAGAGAGACUUAAUUCUGAAUAAACAUGUAUACCAUUGUACUUUAACUACACAGUGGAUUCCCUGGUCUUUAGCUCCUGAACAGCAGGAGACAUUCCUAAGCUUCUUUGCAAAGUUUUCACAUUUGCCUUUGGGGGAAGGAGAGGGGAUUCUUUAACAUCAACCCACACACAUUGUGUAGCAGGAUCUGCAGAAAAUAACUUGUAGGAACAACCUGAUCUCAGCUGAAUGCACAUUAUUUAACAUGCAGUUUGGCCCUCAGUCAUCACAAUCUCUGGACAAGAUGGCCUGCCUCAGAUCAAUUUUUUAAAGCAAGGAUGUUCUGGGAGGAAGGGUGGGAUGUUAAAUAAAUAAAUAAAUAAAUGUGCAGGGUUAUGUGCAAAAGGCUUUUCUUAACUGGCAGUUAGCCAGUAAGCCUUUGCCUCUUCUCAGUAUCACAACCUUUGCCUCUAGUUCUUCUGUACUCCUCUUCUGUCACACCACCAUAUCUCCUUUGAUGUACUACUUGGCACAUGCUAUGCAUGCCCAAAAGCUCCAUAUAUCUCUCCAUCUUCUCUGAGCACCACUGGAGUUUGUCCCUCAUGGCUACGUUCGCAGCAGUCUGAUGGAGAUAAAAUUCUUGACACAGAAGGCAAUAACCAUCUCUUUUUGCGGUUGCUACUUUGUCAACUUCAUAACAGGAUUUCUCAAUCGUUACCUUCAGAUUUUGAUGCUGAAUAGGCAACUUGCCAACAUUUCUCACAACCGCUGUCACAUCAUGGCCUUGUUUGACCAAAAACUGGCCUGUUGCACCAAGAACUGACAGCUUCAUAAUCUGUUAAUAAAACAGUAAACAUUAUUUUGUGGCAGUCAUAGUACUAAAAACUAUAAUUAAGCUUUGAAGAGCCUUGAAGCACCCUGGCUUUAGUAAAGAGGUACAAAUGUACCAGGACUUGCCCUCUAACAAAACAGGGAGGACCAAGAUGAAUCAGACCUCCAAAAUUGGUGUAUGUGUACCACCCCAGUCUAUUAUGGUAAGUUCACACUCAAAGCCAAACAAACACAAUGUAGGCAGAGAAAUCCUAUGAGGAAAUCCAUUUGGAAGAACUGCCCGAGCAAAGGUCUUGCAUAGGCCAGGGCAGAAGGUAGGAAGAGGCAGGUGAAGGGAAAAUAAAUAUGAUACCUCCAGGGCUAGUACGGUUUCCUUCCCUUACUGGGAUCUUGUUGAGGAAAUGGGAGAGCUUUGGAUCUUGUAGAUCUGAAGUCUCCCUUGACCUGUCCCCAACAUGCCUAUUCUUCUUCCCCAAUGCCAUUUGAGCACUAAAUGUGAGACCUGGAGAGGACCCCAAAAAACUGGAGUUUCUGGGUGGAAACUGGAGACCUGGCAACCCUAUUUAAGACUGUUGAACUAGGACCUGAUAGACCAGCCAUGAAGCUUACUUCAUAACCUUGAGCCAUUCACUGCCUCUCAGCCUAAUCUACCUCACAGGGUUGUUGUGAGGGGGAGAACCAUGGAUUGUAUUCAACUAACUUUUACUUCAGAGUACACCUUUGAAAUUAAUAGCCAUGACUAGCUUAGGCCCAUUAAUCUCAGUGGGUCUACUUUGAGUAAAGGUGGUGUGGAUGUAGUUGUAAUCAACCUUUACUCAAAGUAAACCUAUUGAAACGGCACCAAUUCUCCAGGAUUUCAGAUAAGAGUCUUUUCUGGCCCUACCUGAAGAUUGAACUGUUACGAAUGGACCUUGAACUUCCUCAUGAGCAAAGCUCACAAGAAAUGCAAGUUCCCCUACUGAGAGUGCAGCAGGAUCUUUUGCUGGAGUUACCCACACGUCACCCCCAGAACAUGUAUAAUUUUAUCCUUAACCCAAUGACACAUACACAGAAAGUAAAAUAAAGAGUGGUUUUAUUAAAAGAAGAAACAAGGAAAAACAUUGCAGUUUACAAUUACAGUUAACAAUGAGCAGCUUUCUAACUAUUAUUCAUUCAUUCAGCAACACUGGAUAGACUAAAGCAAAGAGACUAACCCCAUGAACACUUUCACAUAAGCUCACUCACACAGAAAGAAAAAGGAAAGAAAAGGCCCAGAAGUUGCAUAUACCUUUCCUGGAGAGUUGCUGCAAGACUAAGGCUGAGAGAGACUUUCAUACAGUAUGUAGCCCAAUGAGCCAAACACUCUGCCCUCAUGGAACCAGCGCUAGAUUUGAAAGAUCUCAUUCAAAUCCUUAGCCCUGAAUUUCUGCAAAUUGUCCCAAAGAUGCUAGGGUGCGUUGAUAAGAAAGGCAGCUGUUGAGCCCUCCAGGAGGAACUGCCAACCCCUUCCACCCCCUCAUGUUUUAUACCUUUUCCUAACUAAACUGACCCCCAUGUAAAUGUCUCCAGGAAGGUUUGGACGUGACAAAUAAGAACAAUGAAAAGGUUUUGGAUCAUCAGUCAAGGAAUUUGUUCUUUUUUUCAGAAACCAUUCCUUGAGGAAUUCCCAGAUAAUGACUGCAAUCUCCUACCUGUGAAGUCCUAAUGUCCUGUCUCUUCCUAAAGGUUAAGAUUAUCAUAACCGUUAUGCAGACCAUUUCCUAGUUUGAAAGGAGCUAUCCUGUCUCCUCCUAAAGGCUUAAAUUAUCAUAACUGUUAUGCAGACCAUUUCCUAGUUUGAAAGGAGCUAUCCUGUCUCCUCCUAAAGGCUUAGAUUAUUAUAAACAUUUCCUUGUUUGAAAGGAGUGCCUGUUCUUACUGGGUGAUGUGAUGUUCCUAUAUAUUAGUGUAUAUAUGGUAAGUGCUGGUUGUUUAGAGUAUACAUGGUAAGUAGUGAAAGAGGAGGGGGAGUGAAUGGGCAAUAGAAUGCUUGAUGAUUGGCUGAAUGUUUAAAAUGGAUGACAGUAUAAAUGAAAGGAUGACAGGUAAAUCUGGGUGAAUGUGAGGUGGUGAAUUGUGGAAUCUGGGGGGAGAAGAGAAAGAGUGGAUUGCUUGGUGGGGUUUAGAGAGUUGUUUACCAGGAGGGAGGUGGAGUUCGGAUUAGUAUUGAGUAAAACCAUAUGCUUAUGUGCCUUAAGAAGAAAUCUUGUUAAUCUUGUUAGCUGUGUUAUCUGUAAUAAAUACUUAAUUUGGUUUACCAAAGGCCUGAUCCUUGGCUGGGGUUUCACAGACCAGAAGGGAGGGUAAGGUAAUGACCAAGGCUGA